rnacentral:rRNA from 1 species
AAUAGAUACUCGGGUAGUCCACGCCGUAAACGAUGAGUGCUAAGUGUUAGAGGGUUUCCGCCCUUUAGUGCUGCAGCUAACGCAUUAAGCACUCCGCCUGGGGAGUACGGCCGCAAGGCUGAAACUCAAAGGAAUUGACGGGGGCCCGCACAAGCGGUGGAGCAUGUGGUUUAAUUCGAAGCAACGCGAAGAACCUUACCAGGUCUUGACAUCCUCUGCCAACCCUAGAGAUAGGGCGUUCCCCUUCGGGGGACAGAGUGACAGGUGGUGCAUGGUUGUCGUCAGCUCGUGUCGUGAGAUGUUGGGUUAAGUCCCGCAACGAGCGCAACCCUUGAUCUUAGUUGCCAGCAUUCAGUUGGGCACUCUAAGGUGACUGCCGGUGACAAACCGGAGGAAGGUGGGGAUGACGUCAAAUCAUCAUGCCCCUUAUGACCUGGGCUACACACGUGCUACAAUGGAUGGUACAAAGAGCUGCGAACCCGCGAGGGUAAGCCAAUCUCAUAAAGCCAUUCUCAGUUCGGAUUGUAGG